GACGAACGCUGGCGGCGUGCUUAACACAUGCAAGUCGAACGGAAAGGCCCUGCUUUUGUGGGGUGCUCGAGUGGCGAACGGGUGAGUAACACGUGAGUAACCUGCCCUUGACUUUGGGAUAACUUCAGGAAACUGGGGCUAAUACCGGAUAGGAGCUCCUGCUGCAUGGUGGGGGUUGGAAAGUUUCGGCGGUUGGGGAUGGACUCGCGGUUUAUCAGCUUGUUGGUGGGGUAGUGGCUUACCAAGGCUUUGACGGGUAGCCGGCCUGAGAGGGUGACCGGCCACAUUGGGACUGAGAUACGGCCCAGACUCCUACGGGAGGCAGCAGUGGGGAAUGUUGCACAAUGGGCGGAAGCCUGAUGCAGCAACGCCGCGUGCGGGAUGACGGCCUUCGGGUUGUAAACCGCUUUCGCCUGUGACGAAGCGUGAGUGACGGUAAUGGGUAAAGAAGCACCGGCUAACUACGUG
rnacentral:rRNA from 1 species